rnacentral:rRNA from 1 species
CCGCCCGGGUACUACGAGCUUUAGCUUAAAACCCAAAGGACUUGGCGGUGCUUAAGAUCCACCUAGAGGAGCCUGUUCUAUAACCGAUAACCCCCGUUUAACCUCACUCUUUCUUGUUUAAACCGCCUAUAUACCGCCGUCGUCAGCUCACCCUGUGAAGGCCCCGUAGUAAGCUAGGUUGGCACGACCCAAAACGCCAGGUCGAGGUGUAGCGCAUGAAAGAGGAAGAAAUAGGCUACAUUUCCUAAGCAGGAAACACGGACAAUAAACUAAAA